rnacentral:lncRNA from 1 species
GUGCACCAUCCUGUUGAAACCAUAUCGUGUCAAAGAAGUUGACACCAUAGCAGAUGCAAUGUUCACAAAGAAAAUCUCUAAUUUGAAGAAAUAUGGGAAAUUCAAAAGCAGUGAGGAAUCAACUGAAGUAAAAUACAGUAAACCAUUCAGAUUCAAGUAUCACCAAUGUAAGAAAAUCAGACAUAAGGCAGCCAACUGCCAUGAAACAGAAAGAGCUGGAAAAGCAAAAGAAGGUGCCUUUCAUAAUGAAUCCACCAAUAAACCUAGUUUUCACAUUGACUAAUGGUGCCUUGAUAGUGAUCCAACAUUGCACAUGACAGCAAAAAGAGAAAAUUUUGAAUCUCUAAAAAAGAUAUUGAAAACAUUAAGUCUGGCAAAUAACCACGUCACAAUCAUAGAAGAUAUUAGUAAUUUUCAAAUUGUUCUAACCAGUGGAAAUAAUUAAGAGUGACUAACACUGUUGAAAGCUCUAUGUGUUCCUGAUCUCUGUACGAAUCUAAUGUC